rnacentral:rRNA from 1 species
CCUACGGGAGGCAGCAGUGAGGAAUAUUGGUCAAUGGGCGCAAGCCUGAACCAGCCAAGUCGCGUGAGGGAUGACGGUCCUAUGGAUUGUAAACCUCUUUUGUCGGGGAGCAAGGCCCGCCACGUGUGGCGGGAAGGAGAGUACCCGAAGAAAAAGCUUCGGCUAACUCCGUGCCAGCAGCAGCGGUAAUACGGAGGAUGCGAGCGUUAUCCGGAUUUACUGGGUGGAAAGGGAGCGUAGACGGCGCUGCAAGUCCGGAGUGAAAGCCCAUGGCUUAACCAUGGUACUGCUCUGGAAACUGUGGAGCUUGAGUGCGGGAGGGGCAGGCGGAAUUCCUAGUGUAGCGGUGAAAUGCGUAGAUAUUAGGAGGAACACCGGCGGCGAAGGCGGCCUGCUGGACCGUAACUGACGUUGAGGCUCGAAAGCGUGGGGAGCAAACAGGAUUAGAUACCCCGGUAGUC